rnacentral:rRNA from 1 species
ACGCUCGACACCUACGGGAGGCGGCAGUGGGGAAUAUUGCACAAUGGGGGAAACCCUGAUGCAGCGACGCCGCGUGGAGGAAGAAGGUCUUCGGAUUGUAAACUCCUGUUGUUGGGGAAAAAGAGGAUGGUACCCAACAAGGAAGUGACGGCUAACUACGUGCCAGAAGCCGCGGUAAUCUGAGCGGGCUGGCAAGGC